rnacentral:rRNA from 1 species
UACGUAGGGUGCAAGCGUUGUCCGGAAUUAUUGGGCGUAAAGAGCUCGUAGGCGGUUUGUCGCGUCGAAUGUGAAAACCCGGGGCUCAACCCCGGGCCUGCAGCCGAUACGGGCAGACUAGAGUUCGGCAGGGGAGACUGGAAUUCCUGGUGUAGCGGUGAAAUGCGCAGAUAUCAGGAGGAACACCGGUGGCGAAGGCGGGUCUCUGGGCCGAUACUGACGCCGAGGAGCGAAAGCGUGGGGAGCAAACAGG